rnacentral:rRNA from 1 species
AGUGAACGCUGGCGGUAGGCCUAACACAUGCAAGUCGAACGGCAGCACAGUAAGAGCUUGCUCUUACGGGUGGCGAGUGGCGGACGGGUGAGGAAUACAUCGGAAUCUACUUUUUCGUGGGGGAUAACGUAGGGAAACUUACGCUAAUACCGCAUACGACCUACGGGUGAAAGCAGGGGAUCUUCGGACCUUGCGCGAUUGAAUGAGCCGAUGUCGGAUUAGCUAGUUGGCGGGGUAAAGGCCCACCAAGGCGACGAUCCGUAGCCGGUGUGAGAGGAUGAUCAGCCACAUUGGAGCUGGGCCAGGGUCCAGACGCCUGCGGGAGGCAGCAGUGGGGAAUAUUGGACAGUGGGCGAAAGCCUGAUCCAGCCAGACCGCGUGGGUGAAGACGGCCUUCGGGUUGGAAAGCCCUUUUGUUGGGAAAGAACAGCAGCAGGUUAAUACCCCGCUGUUCUGACGGUACCCAAAGAAUAAGCACCGGCUAACUUCGUG